rnacentral:lncRNA from 1 species
AGGCAAUCAUUUAGAUUUUGAUAUUGUUUUCAUUACUUGCAUUGUUUUGAGAAAUCAAUUAAUGCGUAAAAUAACUAAAAGUAUAUCCUUAAGUAUGAAGGCAAAUUUCUAUGACCAUGGGGAAUAAAAUAUAAAGCAUGUAGCAGUAAUGCAGCACUGGGGUUACAGUGACACAAUUAUGAGUAACUUUGAUCCUUUUAUUUCAGUUAUGUAGUAACUUUGAUCCUUUGAUUUCUGUAAAUUCUGUGCACCCCACCAAAAGUUUGUGAAUUUGCCAACAGAGCAGAGCACCUACAUACGAAUAACAAAUUCACACUACAAUUCAUGUGCAACAGAACUGCUACUGUCAUAUGUACAGAAAACAGCCAUAGGUUCAACUAGAAGAGUGUCAUAUUCGGUGAAAAUAGCUUUGCUUUCCAUGAAGGUAUUCUGAAGUGAAUACUAAUAAAAGACCUACAGCAACAGUUCUUGCCACUACUCUUUUUUUUAACAAAGUGUUUGUUAAAACCAACUCAUGUAUAAGGAAUACUCAAGAUUGAGUCAAAGAUAUAACAUAAAGCAGAAGCCAGGAAUUGUUAUCAACCCAAAUUGCCUACAAUUAGGGUGCAACACCUCCUGAGUCUUAACUCUAACAGAACAACAACAACAACAACAACAACAAUCUGAAUGGAUACAUAUAUGCCGCUAAAGCUAGUCUAAAAUCAGUCUUAGAAAUAGAAACUGCCCCUGCAAUGAUAUUCAAAGCAGUUCCAAUGCUCACCUAUUCAAACUACUGGUUUUCCUUUCCCCUUGACAGUGCAGGUUCUGGAAGCAAUAAAGAAAUAGUUCCACUUGAUGAAACUUCAGUAUUUUAAAACUCCGGAAAGGAAUAGAUCAGAGUCU